rnacentral:rRNA from 1 species
AAUGACUCUCGGCAACGGAUAUCUCGGCUCUCGCAUCGAUGAAGAACGUAGCGAAAUGCGAUACUUGGUGUGAAUUGCAGAAUCCCGUGAACCAUCGAGUCUUUGAACGCAAGUUGCGCCCGAAGCCUUUCGGUCGAGGGCACGUCUGCCUGGGCGUCACGCUU